UUUUUUUUUUUUUAGGGCUACAUCUGCGGCAUAUAGAGGUUCCCAGGUUAGGGGUCGAGAGCUACAGCUGCUGGCCUACACCACACCCACAGCAAUGCAGGAUCCAAGCUGCAUCUGCAACCUACAUACACCACAGCUCAUGGCAACACCAGAUCCUUAACCUACUGAGUGAGGCCAGGGGUCGAACCUGCGUCCUCAUGGAUGCUAGUCAGAUUCAUUAACUGCUGAGCCACGGCAGGAACUCCCAGAAAGUUCCUUUUUUGAGGAAAAGCACUAUCAUAAAAAGACACUGAAAUCACAAAUACUGGUAUCAAUAAUGCUUGAGCUCUGACCCCCAAAGAACUGAUUUACAUUGAGCCCUCAAUAAACAUACACCUCAGUAGUGACAAAAUGCCUUCUAUUGUAACAAAAACUCAAAAUGACUUAAACAAUUAGGAACAGUUAUAUUUCACAUGGCAAAAGGCUCCAAAAUAGAGCAACUCCAGAACUGGUUUACUGAAGCCAUGAAAGACCCCAUUUCUUUCCAUUUUCCUGCUCCGUUCUUCGCAGCACCCCCCCACCCCCAUCAGAGCAGCAUCCUUCACGGCUACCAGUGACCAUCACAAUCCCUGUGAGGUCACCCUACCGUAAACCCUUAGGCACAAAUCUUCAAAACCUAAGAAGAAGGUGUCGACGGGAAAAGGACCCAUCGAUUUGGCUUUCGUGUCGCAGAAUGCAGAUGAAGUCAGCUGUACCCGGUACCCAGCUGGAUCUCUAAUACCACCCUCCAGGUGAAGGAACCAGGCCUCCUUGCAGAAAGGGCUGGUGAGACUGUGAUGGAGAAUCUGCACGGCGAGCCUGGGGCUCCUGCAAGUGUCAGGAAAGAAGGCACUCAGAAGAUACCGCGGAGGAAUGUCAAUGGGACACAGGGGCCAACCAGCCAACCAGGAAGAGCCUGGGGUGGCCAGAGCUAGAGCAGUUUGAGCAAGAAAAAUAAUGUCCUGUUAGAUGAUGAUGCAAAGCUAAAAGUAUCCUUGUAUCCACCAGAUAUGAAUAAACACGGAGAAAGAGACAAAUCUCCUGCAAGAAAGAAUAACAAACUCUUGAUGCAGACACCACCCUGAGAAGGUGUCCUUAGUGACCUGCUUCCAAGGAGCAGGCUGUGGCAAGAGGAAGGGGGCCUUUGCAGUGAAGGAAACUCCAAAACCUAUCGUGGCCAGGUGGCCAAGGUCAACAUGUUCAGGGAGAAGUGGUGCUGAGAGCAUGUGCCUUUAAAAGGAGGGGAUGAGUACUUCACUUCUGGGUCAUUUUCUCAAAAAACCCAUAACCCCAGUUCCUCAGGAGAGGAACAUGAAACAAACCCAAUGGGAGGAUGGUGUGCAGAACACCUGGCCAAUCUCAAACUGUCUAGGAGGUCAGAGUAGGGACUCGGAGCCACUGUCCCACAUCAGACCUGACCACUAAACCCAGUGUGGUGCCCUGGCUCAGACCUGGACCAGAAAAAGGGCAUUAGGGAAAACCUGGGAGAUCAAAGAGAGCAUGGAGCUGCAGUUGCUUUUCUAGCUGAGGUACCAUAGUCAUGCCAGCUGUUAGCAGUAGGAGGGAUGUGUUGAGAGGUAUGUGGGAACUCUCUGGACCAUCCAUCCUGCAAACUUUACUGUUUCUAAAAUGAUGGAAUCUUUGAGAGAUGAAUGGAUUAAGAAGUUGUGGAAAACUACUUAGCAAAAAAAAAAAAGACAAAUUAAUGCCAUUCUCAGCAACAUGGGUGGAACUAGAGACUCAUACUAAGUGAAAUAAGUCAGAAAGACAAAUGCCAUAUGAUAUCACUUAUAUCUGGAAUCUAAUAUACGGCACAAAUAAACUUCCACGGAAAAGAAACUCAUGGACGUGGAGAACAGACUUGGGGUUGCCAAGGGGGAGGGGGAGGGAAUGGGAUGGACUGGGAAUCUGGGGUUAAUAGAUGCAAACUAUUGCCUUUGGAGUGGAUAAGCAAUGAGAUCCUGCUGUACAGCACUGGGAAUUCUCUCUAGUCACAUAUGCUGGAGCAGGAUGGAGGAUAAUAUGAGAAAAAGAAUGCAUACAUGUAUAUGUGACUGGGUCACCUUGCUGUACAGUAGAAAAUCGACAGUACACUGUAAACCAACAAUAAUGGAAAAAAACAAAAUAAACUGAUGGACUCUAAAGCCAUUCCAAAAUUAAAAACUGAUUUUAAAAAAAGUAAUCCAUACAUGUUAACAGCACGAUAUAUAACAGAAUCGUGUUUGAUAAACUGAAUGCUACCGAAAUUUAAAAUUUUUGCUCUAUCUGACUAGGAUCCGUGAGGAUGCAGGUUUGAUCCCUGGCCUUGCUCAGUGGGUUAAGGAUCCCGUGUUGCCGUGAGCUAUGGUGUAGGUCUCAGACACAACUUGGAUGUGGCAUUGCGGUGGCUCUGGUGUAGGAUGGCAGCUAUAGUUCCAAUUCGACUCCUAACUUGGGAACCUCCAUAUGCCAUGGGUG
rnacentral:lncRNA from 1 species